UGGGCUUAAGUGACUUUGUUUAACAAGUUGGACUUGGCCCAGUUAAUCUUCUUCCCGUGGAGACGAAUGGAGUUCCCUUCCGGCCAUCGUGUCGUCAUCGCCGAUUCAUACGAACAUAAUAAAAACCUAAACGAACUACACAAACCCAACUCUGUUUAUCAUCUUCUUCUUCAUCUUUUCAUGAAAUCUCAUGGGUGUCGGUUUCAGUAAUUGGUGGAGAAAUAGCAAGUGUUGGUUGAAACUAAAGAGGUAGGGUUUUGAAUAGGUGGAGAAUUGAGAGGUUUGUGAUGAGAACGAGAGGAUGAAAUUAGGGUUUAGAGAGUACACGUGAAACCAUCCACACACGCAUCCUAUAGAUAGAUAUGGAGUAAGGACGAAAGCUGGUAAGUAGCAAUCAUUAGAAGAUGCUGGUGUCAAAAUUGCACAUUCUGCAGGAGCUUCAAUUCGUGGCACAAUGAACUUGCCUUAAAUAAGUCAAAGUGGGACAGGUAAAAGAGCUAUACGAUGAAAUAUGACUUCGUUCACCUCACUGAGCGGUGGAUACAGUUAGACUAUGAUUUGUAACGCCAGUGUGUAGAGGUGACCUAAUUUGAUGUUGUUGUGGUCCCAUCUGAUUAUUAUAUUAAACGAACAUUUCAAAUUUAGUGACGUUAUAUGACUGGGUUGUUAAAUUACUGUUCAUUCUUAUGCUGUCAGUUUACUGUUUCGUUGUUUCUGAUGUUCUAUCAAACUCUGCAUUCA